rnacentral:rRNA from 1 species
UACGGGGGGAGCAAGCGUUGUUCGGAAUUACUGGGCGUAAAGUGUGCGCAGGCGGCCGCGCAAGUCGAGUGUGAAAGCCCCGGGCUUAACUUGGGAAUUGCGCUCGAAACUACGUGGCUGGAGUAUGGCAGAGGAAGGUGGAAUUCCACGUGUAGCGGUGAAAUGCGUAGAGAUGUGGAGGAACACCGAUGGCGAAGGCAGCCUUCUGGGCCAAUACUGACGCUCAUGCACGAAAGCGUGGGGAGCAAACAGG